rnacentral:lncRNA from 13 species
CUGAAGUGCCAGUUCCCAAGGCCUGACCGUCCUCAGAGCCUGAGCUAGCUCUGCAGUGAGCUGCACAGCAUCAGGUAGGCCGAGCCAGCUACAGCCUCUGCCCUUCACUCCUGCUGGGGCAGGGCAGGGACUGGCUUGUCUGUGCUUUAGAAAGGCUGCCAAGUGGCCAGACGCAGUGGUUCACACCUGCCAUCCCAGCACUUUGGAAGGCUGAGGCAGGUGGAUCACAAGAUCAAGAGAUUGAGACCAUCCUGACCAACGUGGUGAAGCCAUGUCUCUACUAAAAGUACAAAAAUUAGCCAGGCAUGGUGAUGGGCACUGGUAGUCCCAGCUACUCAGGAGGCUGAGGCAGGAGAAUCGCUUGAACCCAGGAGGCGGAGAUUGUAGUGAGUCGAGAUCAUGCUACUGCACUCUAGCCUGGCGACAGAGCAAGACUCUGUCUCAAAAAAAGAAAAAGAAAAAAAAAAAAAAAAAGAAAGUCUGUCGAGCUUGUGACCAUACUGUGUGCAUAGUCACCGUCUGGGUGUAUCACAUUUCAUGCAACUUCCAGACAGGAGAAUCGGGGCGACCACAGUGAUGCUCUCGGCCUUGCUGUGCACAGGAGCCUUAUUGCCUACUUGCAGCUCUGAUGAAGCCGUCUUGAGCCAAGCUGCUGGCUUGAUUAGUCGUUCUUGUCGGAGUCAUGCCAUCCCCUCUGAGGUAGGGGUUGUGCCCUGGCACUGGGCAGGAGAUGAAAGUAGGAGCCUCCCACGGAGCCAGCUUGGCUGACAUUUGGCUAUGAACACAUCAUGUCUUAAAGAGAAUGCAUGAUGAGAUUUCAAGACAGAAGUGGUGGUGGUGCCCUGCAUGGCCUUCAUUCCUGUGACAUUAAGGACUUCAAGGUACGGAGGUUAUGAGACAUGAAGAAGGACAGCAAGACGGAGAUAGGAAUCAAAGAAGGAGCCAGGCUCAGCUGGGACACCUGUCUUCUCCUUCCCUUGGACACGAAAGCUUCAGAUUCUGCAGCCUUUGGACUCCAGGACAUACAGCAGUGGUACCUCUGGGUUCUCAGGCCUUCAGCGUUGACCUGAGUGACACCAUGAGCUUCCUUGGUUCUGGUCCUUCAGACUUGGAGCCACACUACUGGCUUCCCUGGUUCUCCAGCUUGCAAAUCUCUGAUGGGACUUCUCAUCCUCUCUUCCUAAUAAAUCCCAUCUCAUAUAUAUCUCUCUAUCUGUUAUAGAUAUGUGUAUGUAUCCACUUUUUUAUUGUUUCUAUCUCUCUGGAGAAUACAGAUGUUGGUACCAGGAGAGGUUCUAGAGGAGGAGAACUUUCAGGGCGAGUUCCCAGACUUGGUUUUAGGUUCUCUUGCACUGUCUCUCUCAUCAGAUCAGACUUAAAAAUGCUAAGGACUUCAUUACUAGCAGUACAGAGAGCACUGACAGCCCAUACGUAACUCUUCAU